rnacentral:rRNA from 1 species
GACGAACGCUGGCGGCGUGCUUAACACAUGCAAGUCGAACGGUGAAAGGAGAGCUUGCCCUUCUGUAUCAGUGGCGCACAGGUGAGUAACACGUGAGUAACCUCCCCCAGACUCUGGAAUAAACGCUGGAAACGGCGUCUCAUACCGGAUACGAGACAGAGCUUCAUGGCUACUGUCUUGAAAGUUUUUCGGUUGGGGAUGGACUCGCGGCCUAUCAUCUUGUUGGUGAGGUAACGGCUCACCAAGGCAACGACGGGUCGCCGGCCUGAGAGGGCGACCGGCCACACUGGGACUGAGGAACGGCCCAGACUGCUACGGGAGGCAGCAGUGGGGAAUAUUGCACAAUGGGCGAAAGCCGGAUGCAGCGACUCCGCGUGAGGGAUGACGGCCUUCGGGGUGGAAACCUCGUGCAGCAGGGAAGAAGAGAAAGUGACGGUACCUGAAGAAGAAGCACCGGCUAACUACGUG